UACGAAGGGAGCUAGCGUUGUUCGGAAUCACUGGGCGUAAAGCGCACGUAGGCGGUUGUGUCAGUCAGGGGUGAAAUCCCGGAGCUCAACUUCGGAACUGCCCUUGAUACAGCACAUCUGGAGUCCGGAAGAGGUGGGUGGAAUUCCUAGUGUAGAGGUGAAAUUCGUAGAUAUUAGGAAGAACACCGGUGGCGAAGGCGGCCCACUGGUCCGGUACUGACGCUGAGGUGCGAAAGCGUGGGGAGCAAACAGG
rnacentral:rRNA from 1 species